CAGUAGUUCAGUUGGUGGAGUGUUAGACUCGUAAUCCAAUCGUCGCUGGUUCGUUAACCGCCCGGCCAGCCUGA